rnacentral:rRNA from 1 species
GACGAACGCUGGCGGCAUGCCUAACACAUGCAAGUCGAACGAUAACUUCGGGUCUUGCUGCGCACGGGUACUUACCGCGUGGUGACUUGCGCUUAGGUUCGGAAUAACUUCCCGAAGGGGGUGCUAUUACAGCGUAAUCUCUUCGGACAAAAGAUUUAUCGUCUUUGGAUGGGCCCGCGUUGGAUUCGCUGGUUGGUAGCGUAAAAGCCUACCAAGGCGACGAGCCAUAGCUGGUCGGAGAGGAUGACCAGCCACACUGGGAGUGAGACACGGCCCAGACUCCUACGGAUGGCAGCAAGUGGGAAUAUUGGACGAUGGGCGAAAGCCGGAGCCAGCAAGGCCGCGUGAGUGAGUAAGGCCUUAGGGUUGUAAAGCACUGUUACCAGGGAAGAUAGUGACAGUACCGGGAGAAUAAGCUCCGGCUAACUCCGUG